ensembl:lncRNA
ACUGAGUGUUCUAUAGCCAGGGACCCACAUCACCAGUUGGGUUGCCUUUUUGGGACUUUAUUCCAUAUAUCCAAAGCACACUGGAUGUGGCAGGUCUGAAGAAGCAGAACAGGGAUGGGUUCAUUCAUCACCUAUGCUGACCCAAAGGUAAAACAAAACAUCUCAGCCAUAAAGUCCUGUACCUCACCUCCGACACUCCAGUUUUGUGCUUAAGCUUCAGUAGUUCUUGAUGUGAGCAAGCUAUCUUUGCCCAACACGUGGCUCUUAGAGAAUGACAUGAAGGAACGUGAAUUCUAGCUUGAACAGAAGUGAGAAAUCUUUUCUUACCCUGACAUUGUUCCAACAAACUUAGUGUGAAGUUUUACUCCCAUCAGGGGAAAAAAAAAGUGCAGUCUAUGUGAUGGGGGAUGCAGCCGCAGCCUUGGGUCACCAUUUGCUUUCCUGACUGGUGAAUUGCUGGAGCUACCUGAAAGCCCAGUUGUAAGAGGAAUAGUGUUUUCCACGUUGAGUCACCGGAUGGGGAUUGCAAAGAACUCAUUAUCAGCCCUGCAUUUGACUUUCAGUUUGAUUUUUUGGACUGCAGUCCCUACCUGCAAACUGGAAAUCGCCUCUGUGAAGUGCA